UAAAUAUUUACUGAUUACAUGGAUCAUGUAUAAACAUGUCCUAAUUUACUUCCUUGUAACCGACAUUUUAGAAAAAGUAGAGAUAGAAACCUACAUACAGAUGAUGUGACAAAUUCCUAAAUUAAGAGGUCAUGGCAUCCAAUAAACCUAUACUAUGUGGACCUUGUCACAAAGGAGAAAUAAACACUAAAGCUGACAUCUGGUGUUUUAACUGUGAUGAAGGAUUAUGCUCAACAUGUUUAAGUCAUCACAAAAGAUCCAAAGGAACCUGUGAUCAUAAGACCAUUGAUAUCAAAAGUUAUAAACCCUCCAUCCAAGCCAUCAAAACAGAAUGUGGCAAACAUGGUCAACAACUCAACUUGUACUGUCCCAGUCAUUUAAUGCCUUGCUGUGAUGAAUGUAUUUCCACAAGUCAUUCAAAAUGUACCGGCAUUAAAAGUCUAGUAAGUGUCGUAGAGGAAACCAAAAUUGAAAAAUCAAAGGAAUCUGUAGAGACAGACAUAAAUUCUAUCUUAAAUUUAUUGGUAACAUUAAUCAACAACAAAUCCAAAAACAUUGAAACGGGAGAAAAUCAGUGCGUUAGCAUAAAGAAAUCAAUUAAAGGAAUUAGACAGGAAAUAAAUAAACAUUUAGAUCACCUCGAGAAAAAGUUGUCUCAAGAAAUAGAUACCAUUUGGAAUCAGGAAAAAUCAAAAGCAACUGAUUUCAUUUCUGAAAUUGAAGGGAAAAAGGAACACUUGAAGGAAAUAAAAAGAAAUUUACAAACAGUCACAUCAAAUACUAUUAAACUACAAUCAUUUAUUGGUGUACAUCAGAUUGAACAACAAGUACAUCAAUGUCAACGUUAUGUUGAAGAUCUGGAAAAUGAUGACAGGACCAAAGAAUUAGACAUCAAAAUGAAGCAAAAUGAUGAAAUUGAAAAGAUACUGAACAAGUUAGGAACAUUAAAAUCCCUAGGAGAAGUCAUUGUUAUAAAGACAGAAGUAGCCAUGAAUAGAGAAACAAGUGUAAAGAGGAAAGCACAGGUAGAAUCAAAAGAACAAUCCAACAUAAACAACAUGACCAUUAAUAUUGAGACAAAGAUAAAGAUCAACAUAAAGAAGAUGAUUAGUGACAUGAUUUGUCUGAUGGAUGGAAGAGUUAUAGUAGUGGAAGGGUGUGGUAAAGUUAACCUACUUACUUCUGAUGGCAAACUACAGAAACAGUCACCUAUACCUGGUAAUGCCUGGUGUGUUACACAGAUCAAUCAGGACACUAUAGCCAUAACUUAUCCUUUUGAGACAGCCAUUGAGAUCUUCAAUAUGGAGAAUGAAACAGUUACCAAAGUUAUCACAUUAGACAAAGAAUGCUGUGGUUUAUCAUUCUACAAUAAUUCUCUGGCUGUAGGUUUGGAUAAAGAUGAAAUCCGUAUUAUAGACUUGGAAGGAAAUACACUGAAGUCAAUACAAGUUGAGAGUAAAUCAAACCUGCAUCAGCUUGUUUACCGUAAUGACAGAGUAAUCUAUAGUGACUAUAGAGGUAAAGCAGUAUACUGUUAUGAUGAAUCAGGUAAACAGAUCUGGCAAUAUAAACAGGAUUUAUCAGGACCAAGAGGACUUUGUACAGAUACUUAUGGUAACAUUAUUGUAGCAGACAGUAAUUCUGAUAGAAUAAUAGUAAUAUCAAAAGAUGGACAGAAUAGUAAAGUACUGAUUAGUAAAGAGGAUAGACUGAAAAAUCCUCAGUGUAUUAGUUUUAAACAUAAUGAGUCUUCAGGUUUCAUUUGUGAUAACAGAGGCAGAUACUUGGCAAAAUUAAAUUUAUCUCUCUAAAUAUGUAUAAUACAAGUGAUGAUGUGAAGUUUGAAUGUCAAAGGAAAGAUAAGGCAAGUGUUCAGAUGUUAAAGUGUAAUGUUGUUGUUGGGUUAAUAACGAAUUAAUGUUCACAUCACAUAUAUACCUGUAUAAUCUUAAGUGGUGAUAUUUGGUUUGAAUGUGGGAGGAAAUGUGGGCAAGUGUAUAGAUGUUUGUUGUCUGUGUUUAUUGUGUUGUUGGUUUACUGUCUAAUUAAUGUUCACAUCACAUAUCCUUAUAUUCCUAUAUUUUAAUUUUAACUUAUGUUAAGUGGUGAUUGUGAGAGGAAAUAGGGGCAAUUGUAUAAGUGUAUAUGUUUUUAUUGUGUUGUUGGGUUACUGUCUUAUCAAUGUUCACAUCACAUAUCAGAUUUGACAGGAACCAAAGAACAAACAUUAUUAUACCAGUCUGUGCCCAAAACUUAUUGGGAGUACUGGCCCAUAGUGAUGUUUACUAGACCUGAAAUAAUUAGUGUCACCGGUGAGGAUCACAAAGUAAUCCAAACCUGCUAGGAGGGUUUGGGGGCAUGCCCCCCCCCCCCCCAAGAAAAUUUGGAAAAUUAGACGUAAAAUCCUGCAUUCUGAGGUUACAUUUUUGUAUUGGAAGUGAAUAUAACUUUUCAAAAAAUAUUGUUUUUUCUCCAGGUCAGAUGAAAAAUUCUCCUUUCCUCCAAUAAAAAAUUAAUAUAGUUCUUUUGACAAAAAAAAAUUGGUUUUCUAUAAACUUGUACCAUUUCAAGUAAAAAGACUCAGCUAAAAAAAUCCACAUUUUUAGCACUAGUAAACUAUUACUCACUUGAGGGAUUGUUAAUUUUUUGGAGAAAAAUUCCCUAAUUGGUGGGUGUCCCCAACCUGUUUAUUCCUCAUCAGGAACAUAGAUAUACCGUUCCCAGUUCCUCACAUUCUUUGACAUUUUUUUAGUCUUAAAUAUCAAUUCUCUAGCUGGCACUUUAUUAGGGUCUGGAUGGGGGUCCCACAUUUCUGUAUUCUUAAAUUUUUUAUGCCAUUUUUCGCAAUUCUAUUUAAUUUAGAACCUCAUUUUUCUCUAUUCUUUAUUUUUUGGUCCAUUUUUCUCUAAAAAAUAUUCUUUAUGUUUUUUGCCCUUUUAAACUCCCCAUCCACACCCUCCUUCAUUGCCACUUUCGUUAAUGUUGUUUAAAAAAUAUGCCUAGAUUGUUUUUCUGCAUAGCUUUUUUCAACUUGAUACUUCUCAGGGUAUUCGUGUAGGCAUUUUCAACUUUUCAAUGUUUUACCUGGGAUAAGCCCCUUGUUUCCAUUUCAGCAUCGAAUGAGAUCGAAUUCUUGAUUGUUUGUUUACAUUAAGUGGUAUUUAUACAUUGUUUAUUGCAAGCACAUGGUCGAGCCUCGUUCUCGAUUUCGUUGGUAAUUAGGUAUAUUGUUCACGACUGGUUCCAAUUGAUUAGAAGUAAAAAAAACCCGUAUAUAGAAAAAUAGGGAUACCUGUAAACGGAUGAAAACAAGGUCGGUUGACAAAUUUGUAACUUGUUCUCAUAGAUUCAAUAAAAUACCGGCUACAAGUUCACAAACGAUUGCAGAUGUUCACUAGACCGAUCAGGCGAUCAAUAGUGCUUCUGCACAAGUCCGAUGAGAUUUUUACUAGACAGGGGCUUCGGGCUACCACUUAACGUCGCAGACUGUUAUACACUUUGCCCACAUUUCCUCUCACAUUCAAACGUCACACUAAAUAUCACCACUGAAGAAUAUAAGGAUAUAUAAUAUUGCUAAGUUGUGAUGUUUGGUGUGAAGUUUAAAUGCAAAAGAAAAUGUAGACAAGUGUAUAGAUUUGUGAUCUCUGGUUCUUGUCUAAUCAAUGGUCGCAACACAAAUCCUUAUAUUCCUAAGUUGUGAUGUUUGGUGUGAAGUUUAAAUGCAAAAGAAAAUGUAGACAAGUGUAUAGAUUUGUGUUCUCUGGUUCCUGUCUAAUCAAUAUCCACAUCACCUAUCCUUAUAUUGCUAAGUUGUGAUGUUUGGUGUGAAGUUUAAAUGUGGGAGGUAAUGUAGACAAGUGUAUAGAUGUAUAAUCAGUUUUAUUUUGUCUUAUUUUCUUAAGUUUUCAAAUAAAUUUGUUAUUUAAAAAAAAAAAAUCUUUAUAAUUAUUAAUUGGACAUUUUUGUUCCAAUUUGUACAUUCAAUUGACAAUAAUCAUUCUUACGUUUGAAGUUAAAGUUUUCACAUAAUGAGACAAAUGUUUUUUAAUAAAGAACCAUUAUGUAACAGAGCUGUUGAAAACUGCAUUAAUUCUAAAAUUUUAUGAAACUUAGUACUUUGAAGUUACUGUUGUUUUAUUUCCUUUAAUCUAAAAUUAUCGCUUUGUUGGUCAGGUAAUUAAAAAACUUACCAGUGGGUUAUUGUAUUUGUUGAUUGUGUUGAGCAUUACUUGACUUUAUGGAUACAGAAUUUUAUUCUUGAAAAAUAAUUUUGUAAAUACUGUAAUUGUAAAAAUGAAAAAAGACUUCAAUAUAAAUUCCAGUACAAAAAUAUACCUGACUUAUGACUAAUCUGAAAAUGUAGAUUCCACAAAAAUUCAAUUGUUAUACAUGUAUGUGAACCGAUUCAAAAUAAAACUUUCCUAUUCAUAUUCGUAAACCUUUGCAGGUUUUGUUAAAGUUGUCUGAAGUAGUGUAUAUUGGUUAAUAAACUUGUAAAUACUUAA